AUGUCCACGAGGCCCCGGCCGGCUGUACCAUUGGUGCAGAAAGCUGUAACUGAUGACGGGCCUGACAAUUUUAAGUCAAUGUCAGAAAUAGAGGAUGAAAUUGGCAAGAAAUACAAGUUAUUUAAACAGUUUGACAUUAUUAAAGAUUUCUCUGAUCAUCAUUAUGCCAGUAAUCCUGUUGGAAAGACAGGGAAAGAGUGGACAAAAAGAAUUCAGCAUGACUGGAAACUCCUGGAGAACAAUUUACCAGCGUCCAUAUAUGUUCGCGUUUCGGAAAACCGAAUGGACCUUCUCAGGGCUGUGAUCAUUGGGCCUCAGGGAACACCCUACCAUGAUGGCCUUUUCUUCUUUGAUGCUCAAUUCACUGCUAGUUAUCCAGCGACUCCUCCAGUGGUAUACUAUCAUUCUGGAGGACUUCGGCUUAAUCCAAAUCUGUAUGAUUGUGGAACAGUCUGCCUUAGCCUCCUGGGAACCUGGCAUGGUAACGGCUGUGAGAAUUGGAACUCAGCUCACUCAAGCAUGCUACAAGUGCUGAUAUCCAUUCAAGGUCUCAUAUUGAAUGAAAAGCCAUACUUCAAUGAGCCAGGAUACGAGACUGAAGUCAAUGAUGCUAAUGGACAGAGGAGGUCCUUGGAGUAUAAUGAUACAGCAUUUCAGCACUCGUGUGGGACAAUGCUGUACUCACUUCGUAGGCCUCCACAGCACUUUGAAGAUCUUGUUGCCGGCCACUUUCGUGAACGUGGCCAUGCAAUUCUGGCUGCAUGCAAAUAUUACAUGGAAGGUAACGAAGUUGGGUCCGUAGUUCCUGAUGAGGACGAUGAGGGCAAGGAGCUGGAAAAUGCAAAUGCGCGUGCAGGUGCAGGUCGACGAACCGCAUCCUUCAAGGGCGACAUGAAGGUUCUGUUUGAAGAGCUCCUGGUGGAAUUCAGUGUGAAGGGUGCUGACACCAAGAAGUUCUGUGCUGAGAAGGUGAAGAAGACGCGUCAAAAAAAGAAGAAGUUGAAGAAGAGCCAGCCUGCUGCUGCUUGA
rnacentral:rRNA from 1 species